CGGCGUGCCUAAUACAUGCAAGUCGAACGGUCCUUUCUAUGGAAGCUUGCUUCCACUGAGAAGAUAGUGGCGAACGGGUGAGUAACACGUGGGUAACCUGCCCAUAAGAGGGGGGAUAACAUCCGGAAACGGGUGCUAAUACCGCAUAGUUUUCUUGAUCGCAUGAUCGGGAAAGGAAAGACGGCCUUUGUGCUGUCGCUUAUGGAUGGACCCGCGGCGUAUUAGUUAGUUGGUGAGGUAACGGCUCACCAAGACGAUGAUACGUAGCCGACCUGAGAGGGUGAUCGGCCACAUUGGGACUGAGACACGGCCCAAACUCCUACGGGAGGCAGCAGUAGGGAAUCUUCCGCAAUGGACGAAAGUCUGACGGAGCAACGCCGCGUGAGUGAAAGAAGGUUUUCGGAUCGUAAAACUCUGUUGUCAGAGAAGAACAAGUUGGAGAGUAACUGCUCCAGCCUUGACGGUAUCUGACCAGAAAGCCACGGCUAACUACGUGCCAGCCGCCGC
rnacentral:rRNA from 1 species